AGUGUUUGGGUAAGAUCUAGACCGAGGACUAAGGCGUAUACUAGGACAGAACUAAGUGUUGUGGCCCACAGGUGAUCCUAAAGCAACAAAAGAGGAACAAUGGAUAGGAAGAAGUGGUGUCCAGAUGUUUAAAAGGCGGCGUUCGGGACAGGAAACAAAGGCAACAAAGAAGACCUCUAAGGUUUAAAGGCGCUGCUUGCAGAGACAAGUGUAGGAAACAAAGACAGAAGACCUGACGAGAAUGUUUUAUGAUUAGAUGUUUUUGUUAUGUACAUGCACAUUAUUAUUAUUUACAAUAUAUUUCUAAGAUACAUAAAUAUGUGACCUUGUAUAUGAAAUCCAGGCUACUGUCUUAACAUCUAAUGACAUCUAAAGUUUGAAUUUACUGAUUUAACAUUGAGUUCAGUCCUUUGGCAUGACCUUACUCGGUCAGUAUUGAAGAUGUCAAGAUUAUAUUUUCAGAGAAUGUUUUCUGUAUUGUGUAGGAUGAUUUUAUGUAGAAAACAGUAAGUCACAAAGAAAUACUUUGCUGGGUUUUCACAGGCUGUGUCCCAUUUGUACAACAUAUGUGAAAUAUCUUGAGACUAAAACUUCUGAAAUCCAAACUGUUAUAUUUUAGCAUUUCAAAUGCAGCCACCUUUUGCCUAGAAUUUGAAAUAUAUACCCUUGGGUUUUUUCAGUAAUUUUUUGAGAUCUCACCCUGAGAUAUUUUUAAAGAAAUGUCCAUGUAUUAUGGGCUUGAAUUACUUGUUUAUUUUAUCAUUUUGUCCAAGUAAUUUGAAAAAAGUUUUAAUUUAAAUUUUAGUUCUCAAUUGAAAUAAAUGUAUAUGUUGAGACUAUUUUUGUCCACAAACGUAAUUGAAUCAUAUACCUUAAGAGUAAAUUAUUUUGAAGGGUAUAAGAAAUAUUUUAGUUAAGUGUUUAAAAACGUUUACACAGUAGUAUAGCAGUAUAUAAUAGUUACAGAAUAUGUAAUUUAUGUGUGACACAUCUAAAUAUUCUGUUACUGAUUUAUUUGACUUGUUUAUGUGUUAUAUUUGUCAAAUGAAUAAAUUUUCAACGGUUA